rnacentral:rRNA from 1 species
UAUUGGACAAUGGGCGAAAGCCUGAUCCAGCCAUGCCGCGUGAGUGAUGAAGGCCUUAGGGUUGUAAAGCUCUUUUAGCAGAGAAGAUAAUGACGGUACCUGCAGAAAAAGCCCCGGCUAACUUCGUGCCAGCAGCCGCGGUAAUACGAAGGGGGCUAGCGUUGCUCGGAAUUACUGGGCGUAAAGCGCACGUAGGCGGACUCUUAAGUCGGUGGUGAAAUCCUGGAGCUCAACUCCAGAACUGCCUUCGAAACUGGGAGCCUUGAGUUCGGGAGAGGUGAGUGGAACUGCGAGUGUAGAGGUGAAAUUCGUAGAUAUUCGCAAGAACACCAGUGGCGAAGGCGGCUCACUGGCCCGAUACUGACGCUGAGGUGCGAAAGCGUGGGGAGCAAACAG